rnacentral:sRNA from 1 species
GGUGGCUCAUUCGCCUGGUUAUGAAAGCCCUGCGCAAGCGGUAAAGUGCUUCUUAACACUUCGAAUGACGCACAAAACGGUGCCUGCCGUCCUCCAGACCGAUAUUCGCUCACAGCGGGCCUUAUCAAGCAUCGGACGAAACGUUGAGUUAGGCACCACUUA